rnacentral:rRNA from 1 species
GAUCCUGGCUCAGGAUGAACGCUAGCUACAGGCUUAACACAUGCAAGUCGAGGGGCAUCAUUGGGAUAGCUUGCUAUUCAGAUGGCGACCGGCGCACGGGUGAGUAACGCGUAUCCAACCUUCCCCUUAGUAGGGCAUAGCCCGGCGAAAGUCGGAUUAAUACCCUAUGUUGUAUAUUGAGGACAUCUGAUUUAUACCAAAGAUUCAUCGCUAAGGGAUGGGGAUGCGUCCGAUUAGGUAGUCGGCGGGUAACGGCCCACCGAGCCAUCGAUCGGUAGGGGUUCUGAGAGGAAGGUCCCCCACACUGGUACUGAGACACGGACCAGACUCCUACGGGAGGCAGCAGUGAGGAAUAUUGGUCAAUGGGCGAGAGCCUGAACCAGCCAAGUAGCGUGCAGGAAGACCGGCCCUAUGGGUUAGUAAACUGUCUUUUAUCAGGGGAUAAAGUGAGGGACGUGUCCCUUAUUGCAGGUACCUGAUGAAUAAGGACCGGCUAAUUCCGUGCCAGCCGCGGC